CUGAAGCACAUACCUCGUCGGCUCCGCCUUCUUCUCCGACGAGUGCGCCUUCUUGUGGAGUUUGCUGCCGCCCUCCGAUCGACGCGCCUCCGCCUCGCCGUCGCCGGCGUGCGGGCACCCAACAACGCCUAACACUUCCCCACCAACUUCUCCAAGCCCCCCGCCGGAAUCCGAGGAAUCCGACGCCUCGCCAUGACGGAUGGAAGGAACCCACCUGGUCCAGCCGGCGGUGGCGGCGCUCGUCGCGGCUUUCGUGGCGGCCAGAGCCUACCGGCGGAAAUCGCUUGACCUCUCCAGGGCGCUCGCCGGGUUCCUCGUCAUGGCCGUCCACAUCGCAGCUGGGUACAGGUACGGAGCCAUGCUGCUCGUUUUCUUCUUCAGUUCAUCGAAGUUGACCAAAGUCGGGGAGGAGAAGAAGCGCGAGGUUGACGCUGAUUUUAAGGAGGGUGGACAGAGAAAUUGGAUACAGGUCCUAUCAAAUAGCGCUGUCGCUACGGUUCUCGUUGUGGUUAUCUGCACAUUAACUGGAUGAAAGGAUGAGUGUUUGGACUCUGGAAAAUCAGCUCUGAUUACUUCACUCAUUGGUGGCGUAAUUGGUCACUAUUGAAGCAUUAAACGGAGAUAGAUUUAGCUGUUUAGCAAGUGUCUUUGCUUUUUGGAACACACGAGCGGCGAUCCUGUUUUUUAGUGGUAGGCUAGGCUUCAUUAUGGCGGAUUCUGGUGAGGCUAAGCAGGCUGAACCAGGAAAUUUGGAGGAGACAGGUGAAAAGCAAACAUCUGAACAGGUGUGUAGCUUUUUCAGGAAGCCAUCAAGAAAUAAGAAUAUCAGGAAGCGGGAUGGUUGAAGAAGACGAUGAUGAAGAUUCCAAGACGGAGAGUUCAGUGUUACAUAAUCAGAAGAAACCUCAAAGGACAGGCAAUAAGCUGUAUUUUUCAACUGGAUCCUCCAAGAGCUCUGUGUCUGCAGAAUCAACCUUUGAUUAUGAUAAGUAGAUUAUGAAGAAAGGAGAAGAUUGCAUAUUUUACUCUAGAAAGUAAAACCCUUUUCAGCAUAUUUACCGAGCUCACCAUACCUUAUGAAUUCGUGGGCAUUGGCAAGAAGUGCAGCUUUUCUUAUUUCCGAUUCUCUAGCAUCUUCUUUUCCAAUUGUAUGAAUGUAUUUCUUAAACAUUUACUUCUCUCCGACCCCAUUUUAACUUCUUUCUUUUCCCCA